rnacentral:rRNA from 1 species
AAACUCCGCAAUGCGCGAAAGCGUGACGGGGGGAUCCCAAGUGCCGUUGGUCUUUUGAUCGACGGCUUUUCGGGAGUCUAAGAAGCUCCCGGAAUAAGGGCUGGGUAAGGCUGGUGCCAGCCGCCGCGGUAACACCAGCAGCCCAAGUGGUGGCCGCGAUUAUUGGGCCUAAAGCGCUCGUAGCCGGGCUAGCAAGUCCCUUGUGAAAUCGGGCCGCCCAACGGUUCGGCGUGCAAGGGGAUAC